GUGAUAUAGGCCAGGGCGGAGGACGUUGUCAAUGGAAAACAUGGCUCCGCAUGAAGGAACGCUAGGAGGAAUUGAGGAUGCGAAAAAUGUACGGAGGAAAGGGAGACUAGGAGAGGUGCACGGUGAGGCAUUGACGAAUCCUAAAAAGAGAAACUUUUGUCACGGUGUUCUCAUAUCCAUACUUGAAUCAAGUAUGCAUUUUGAAUGGCUUGCACUAAAGCAGAGUAUAAUUCUUAUACUUGUGUUUUAAAUUGACUACAUGUUGUCGUCUCCUCUUGUAUACAUCUUCUGUAUCUACGAUUUUGUGAUGGGUUGUUAAGCUACCAUUCAAGGGAAUGCAUGUUGACAAAUGUA